CCGCGAUUCGCCCUUCGGGGUGCAGCAGGCGCGAAAACUCUACAAUGCAGGCAACUGCGAUAGGGGAACAUCGAGUGAUACUCAUCUUGGGUGUCUGUCCUCCCGUCUAAAAAACGGGAGUUAGCAAGGGCCGGGCAAGACCGGUGCCAGCCGCCGCGGUAAUACCGGCGGCUCGAGUGGUGGCCGAUAUUAUUGAGUCUAAAGGGUCCGUAGCCGGCUUUGCAAGUCUUUUGGGAAAUCCAGCGGCUUAACCGUUGGUCGUCCGGGAGAUACUACAUUGCUUGGGACUGGGAGAGGUAGGAGGUACUCAGGGGGUAGGAGUGAAAUCCUGUAAUCCUUUGGGGACCACCGGUGGCGAAGGCGUCCUACCAGAACAGGUCCGACGGUGAGGGACGAAAGCUAGGGGCACGAACCGGAUUAGAUACCCGGGUAGUCCUAGCCGUAAACGAUGCUCGCUAGGUGUCACAACAAUCGUGAAUUGUUGUGGUGCCGUAGGGAAGCCGUGAAGCGAGCCACUUGGGAAGUACGACCGCAAGGUUGAAACUUAAAGGAAUUGGCGGGGGAGCAC
rnacentral:rRNA from 1 species